rnacentral:tRNA from 1 species
AGUCUUAUAGUCAUAAAAUGAUAUUAAAUUGCAAAUUUAAAGGAGGAAUAGUCUUAAGGCUU